UAGUAUAGUAAAAAUUCAAUUUGGAAUCUUGGGACUGUAUCCAAAUCUCUCUUUCUCUAUCUAUGUUACCUGGGGCUUUAGGACAUCAUCUGUUCAUUGAGAGGAUUGGACUUGAAGAACUCUAAAGCCUCUUCUAUCUUGAAUUGAUGAUCAUAUUAUACUAAGAGAGGAAUGGUAAAUAUAUUGGAUUAUAGUCUGGAUCCAAAAAGAUCCAAAAAAUCAAAAUUAUAGAAUCUUGGUGGCAAACUAGGCUAACUUUGGUGACUGAUUGGAAUCUGUAAUGUACACAAUUGGUCAUCCUACUUUUUCUUGAAGACUUCAUUUCCAUUGUUUUCCAUUUUUUAAUACCUCCAACUUUUAGGAAGUUUUUUCUUAAAAGGAGUAGAAAUCUGACUUCCACCAAUUCCCAUUCUUUGACCCCUAUUCUGCCUUCUGAGCCCAUACAGAACAAGUUUAAUUCUUUUUUCCAAGAGACAUUUCAAGUACUUUAAGAGUCAUCUUGUCUUCCUGAAGCCUUCUUUUCUCCAUGUAUCCAUUCCUAGUUUCCUCAGUGGAUGUUUGUGUGACCCCUUGUCAUCCUAUCCCUCCUCUUUUAGACUUACUGAUGAAUGGAUGGAGCAUUCAAGCAAAAGGACAAAGUAUAGCAAGACAGCCAUUUCCCUCAUUCUGGACAAUGAAGAAACAGAAGAAACUCAAAAAAACCUGAUGUCAAAAAAAUACUUUCUAACUAUUAGUCCAAAUGUGGAAAGGACUGCUUGAGAAGACAGAUUCUCUGCCCUUGGAAGUCUUCAAGCAAAGCCUGGAUUACUACUUGUCUGUCAUGUAUAGUGGAUUUUACUAUUUUGGAUUGGUUGGAUUAGAUGGCGCCAAGUUCCCUUCGAGCUCUUGAAUUCUGUGAUUCUGUGAAGUAUAAACAGAAACAAAACUCUUCUCUGUUAUGUACAUUAGUUGGUAAUUGCCUGACAUCUGUGCUGUCAAAUGCAUAGUUUGCAUAGUUUCCAAGGCCAGCUUCAUCACAGAGCAAAAUAGGAUUAUGUGUCCUGGGUCCCAAGCGUUGAGCAGUACCUUCAAGGGGGGAAAAAAUAGUUGGUUCACGUCCCAGGAAAUAACUCUAUAAUUUCUCCCAGUGUUCUAUUAGUCAUAUGGCUGCCCCAGA
rnacentral:lncRNA from 1 species